UUUGAAAGAUUGGGAGAAUGUCUAGAUUAGCAAACCAUUGAAUAUGUUCUAAAUCACUUAAUUCGUCUAAAUCAACAUAUUAACCCUUAUGAACAUGUCUAGACUCUAUUGAAGGAAAUUUUAGGACAUGUUGAUUAGAAUUGAAAAGUAAGGAGUCAUAAUUUUCAUCUAAUCUCCUCUUCCCUUUGUCCCUAGAGGAUCUUCUAGAAGCCAUGAGUCUAAACACAUAAAUGAUACCAAGAAUUACACAUAAGAGGCAAGAUCUAUUAAUAAAUUGAGAGAAGAGGUUUGAGAAUUACCCUUGCAGUAAUCUUCUUGAAAGGUUAAGAUUGAUCCUUAAAUUUGAAGAAGAGGAGGGUUUCCUUGAGUUUCUAGAGGAGGAUCAAGGAGAAUGAGAGGUGGAGAGGUGUUUAGAGGUGUUUGGAGGAAUGUAG
rnacentral:lncRNA from 1 species